CCGCUCCCCGCAGGGCCGCAGGCGCGCAGCCAGCAGGUGGGGCACCGCCGCCGGGCCGAGAGGAGGUCCUGGGUGAGGAAGAGGGGAAGGAAGAAGAAGGGGGAGAGGAGCAAAGGGGAACUGGCAGGAGAAGACGGCUUUUUGCUUCAUAGUGAAGUAAGAUACACAUGGAAAAAAAUAUAAGAAAGUGUGCAGCUCGAUGAAUUUUCACAGUUUGAACCCACCCAUGAAACCUGCACCAGAUGAAGAAGUCAAAUGCUUACAUCACCAAAACAUUUAGAGAAACAGUCACCUUCACAGCUGUACAUUCCAAGCCAAUGACUGCAUACUCUGGGGAAGACAAGAUUGGAGAGGGAGGCUGGUACCUGCACUGCAUGCUGCACAGAUUCAUCACUUCCCUGCUCUGAAGUAUGGACAGUAGUUAUGAUAGUAAUGUAGCAGAGGUAAAUACAAUUACAUGUACAAAAUGCCUUUGAGAGUUUUUUUUAA